rnacentral:rRNA from 1 species
GACGAACGCUGGCGGCGUGCUUAACACAUGCAAGUCGAACGAUGAACCCGGAGCUUGCUCCGGUGGAUUAGUGGCGAACGGGUGAGUAACACGUGAGUAACCUGCCCUUGACUCUGGGAUAACUGCGGGAAACUGUAGCUAAUACCGGAUACGACCCUCGGCGGCAUCGCCAGGGGGUGGAAAGAAUUUCGGUCAAGGAUGGACUCGCGGCCUAUCAGCUUGUUGGUGAGGUAACGGCUCACCAAGGCGACGACGGGUAGCCGGCCUGAGAGGGUGACCGGCCACACUGGGACUGAGACACGGCCCAGACUCCUACGGGAGGCAGCAGUGAGGAAUUUUCCGCAAUGGGCGAAAGCCUGACGGAGCGACGCCGCGUGAAGGAUGAAGCUUUUCGGAGUGUAAACUUCUUUUAUGUGGGAAGAUUAUGACUGUACCACAUGAAUAAGGACCGGCUAACUACGUGCCAGCCGCCGCGGUAA